rnacentral:rRNA from 1 species
AAUGAACGCUGGCGGCAGGCCUAACACAUGCAAGUCGAGCGAGGACUUCGUUCCUACUGGCGGACGGGUGAGUAACGCGUGGGAACGUGCCCUUUGCUUCGGAAUAGCCCUGGGAAACUGGGAGUAAUACCGGAUGAGCCCCGUGAGUGAAAGAUUUAUCGUCGAAGUAUCAGCCCGAGAUGUAUUAGGUUGUUGGGGUGGUAAUGGCCUAUCAAGCCUACGAUCCAUAGCGGGUUAGAGAGGAUGAGCCGCGACACUGAGACGGGGAAACGGGCGAGAAUACUGCGCGAGGCAGGAGUGGGGAAUCUUACAAAACGGGGGAGGUCAUGAUCUAGCCAGGCUGCGUGAGCGAUGAAGGCCUUAGGGUUGUAAAGCUCUUUCAGCUGGGAAGAUUAUGACGGUACCAACAGAAGAAGCCCCGGCUAACUCCGUG